rnacentral:rRNA from 1 species
GUUACAGACGUGCCAGGAGCAGCGGGAAAGAGUAGGGUUGUGGCGUUGUACGGGCUGAGUGGGCUUAAAGGGGUCUGAGGCGGUUAGUCGCGGCGGGAGUGAAAACUCAGGGCUCAACCCGGAGCGUGCUUCGGAUACGGGCUGACUAGAGGUAUGCAGGGGAGAACGGAAUUCCUGGUGUAGCGGUGGAAUGCGCAGAUAUCAGGAGGAACACCGGUGGCGAAGGCGGUUCGCUGGGCAUUACCUGACGCUGAGGAGCGAAAGCAUGGGGAGCGAACAGGAUUAGAUACCCGAGUAGUC